UUAUCUUGAUGCAUAAGAGCUUUGAAUUCUGUAAUUUUUCUAUGAUUAGGAUGGAGGAUAAUGCUUGUUGUUCCAGAGCUUGAGAGGGAGGUUGAAUUGCUUUGGGAAUCAAGAGAUAAGCGAAAGCAACUAAGGUUGUUGAGGAACGAGCGUGAUCUUGUUGAAGACCAAGUUCAUCAUUUGAAGUGAUCUCUCAAAUUUGAAAGUCUUCGUGAUGAUGAAAACUAAGCAAAU